UAGGGAAUCUUCGGCAAUGGACGAAAGUCUGACCGAGCAACGCCGCGUGAGUGAAGAAGGUUUUCGGAUCGUAAAACUCUGUUGUUAGAGAAGAACAAGUACGUUAGUAACUGAACGUCCCCUGACGGUAUCUAACCAGAAAGCCACGGCUAACUACGUGCCAGCAGCCGCGGUAAUACGUAGGUGGCAAGCGUUGUCCGGAUUUAUUGGGCGUAAAGCGAGCGCAGGCGGUUUCUUAAGUCUGAUGUGAAAGCCCCCGGCUCAACCGGGGAGGGUCAUUGGAAACUGGGGGACUUGAGUGCAGAAGAGGAGAGUGGAAUUCCAUGUGUAGCGGUGAAAUGCGUAGAUAUAUGGAGGAACACGAGUGGCGAAGGCGGCUCUCUGGUCUGUAACUGACGCUGAGGCUCGAAAGCGUGGGGAGCAAACAGG
rnacentral:rRNA from 1 species